rnacentral:rRNA from 1 species
UAGGGAAUCUUCCGCAAUGGGCGAAAGCCUGACGGAGCAACGCCGCGUGAGUGAUGAAGGUCUUCGGAUCGUAAAACUCUGUUAUUAGGGAAGAACAAAUGUGUAAGUAACUAUGCACGUCUCGACGGUACCUAAUCAGAAAGCCACGGCUAACUACGUGCCAGCAGCCGCGGUAAUACGUAGGUGGCAAGCGUUAUCCGGAAUUAUUGGGCGUAAAGCGCGCGUAGGCGGUUUUUUAAGUCUGAUGUGAAAGCCCACGGCUCAACCGUGGAGGGUCAUUGGAAACUGGAAAACUUGAGUGCAGAAGAGGAAAGUGGAAUUCCAUGUGUAGCGGUGAAAUGCGCAGAGAUAUGGAGGAACACCAGUGGCGAAGGCGACUUUCUGGUCUGUAACUGACGCUGAUGUGCGAAAGCGUGGGGAUCAAACAGG